rnacentral:rRNA from 1 species
UACGUAGGGGUGCAGCGUUGUCCGGAAUUAUUGGGCGUAAAGAGCUCGUAGGCGGUUUGUUGCGUCGGCUGUGAAAUCCCGAGGCUCAACCUCGGGUCUGCAGUCGAUACGAGCAAACUAGAGUGUUGCAGGGGAGACUGGAAUUCCUGGUGUAGCGGUGAAAUGCGCAGAUAUCAGGGAGGGAACACCGGUGGCGAAAGGCGGGGUCUCUGGGCAACAACUGACGCUGGAGGAGCGAAAGCGUGGGGAGCGAACAGG